rnacentral:rRNA from 1 species
UACGAGGGGUGCAAGCGUUGCUCGGAAUUAUUGGGCGUAAAGGGUAGGUAGGUGGUCUCAUUUGUCUGGGGUGAAAGCCUUGAGCUUAACUCGAGAAGUGCCUCAGAAACGGUGAGACUAGAGUUCUGGAGAGGGUCGUGGAAUUCCCGGUGUAGCGGUGAAAUGCGUAGAGAUCGGGAGGAACACCAGAGGCGAAGGCGGCGACCUGGACAGAUACUGACGCUCAGCUGCGAAAGCGUGGGGAGCAAACAGG